GAUGUGAUGCUUGUACUUUACUGCAGGGAGCCAGGCAGGGCUGGUGGGGAUGGAGUGAAGGAAACAUCCGGGGAGUGGCGAGGCCUCGGCAGCAUGCAGGAUCUUAGUUCCCUGACCAGGGAUCGAACCCACACCCCCUGCAGUGAAAACGCCGAGUCAUAACCACUGGGCCGCCAGCUCCCUCAGAAGCUUCUUUAAAAAAGACUCCAACUCAGCAUCUGCUGUCAGGACAGCAUCAACCCACAACAGGGAUGCAGGAAUGAACCAGAUGGGCCCA